CAACGCUUGGAGACCUUUCACGCAGACCAAACGAUGUGAAGAAGAAGACUCACCAUCGUCAGUUGAAGAAGAAGACCCACCAUCGUCAAUUGAAGAAGAAGACCCACCAUCGUCUGCGACAGAGGUGCUAGUAGUCCAAGGAAAGGGUGGACAGUAUCGAGGGACGGGAGUGUGGAAGCUCCCUACUGGAAAAAUAAAACAAGCGAUGGCUGAGUUUGUGGAGUGCUCGAAGAAGACGAAGAGCCCUCCCUUCCAAGACGAAGGAAGAGCUGCCAUCGCGAGUUGAGCUUGCAAGAAUUCUAUGCCAAUCAGGUUUUUAAUGGAGUAAUCUUGUUCGUUUAUGUCAGUCUCGAAGUUGGACCAUCUGCUGUACUUUGGAUUUAACAUCUUUGAUGGUGUUUGUUUUGCUGUCAUGGAACUUCUCAUCCAAGUGAUCAUGUUUGUAGUACUUUUUGGGUUUGAUAUAAACUUUUAUGCUUAGAUGAUAGUUCUUGGGGCCAACUUGUACAAUUUAUUGAAGUUAAUUAUCAAUUUAAGGACCACCUGCUCUCAAGCAAUUCUAUGUGAAAAGGCUAUUUGAACACAAGGCCAACCUCUUUAUCUCAAAGCUUGUUCCAUUUGAUA